rnacentral:rRNA from 1 species
AUUGAACGCUGGCGGCAGGCCUAACACAUGCCAGUCGAGCGGAUGAAGGGAGCUUGCUCCUGGAUUCAGCGGCGGACGGGUGAGUAAUGCCUAGGAAUCUGCCUGGUAGUGGGGGAUAACGUCCGGAAACGGGCGCUAAUACCGCAUACGUCCUGAGGGAGAAAGUGGGGGAUCUUCGGACCUCACGCUAUCAGAUGAGCCUAGGUCGGAUUAGCUAGUUGGUGGGGUAAAGGCCUACCAAGGCGACGAUCCGUAACUGGUCUGAGAGGAUGAUCAGUCACACUGGAACUGAGACACGGUCCAGACUCCUACGGGAGGCAGCAGUGGGGAAUAUUGGACAAUGGGCGAAAGCCUGAUCCAGCCAUGCCGCGUGUGUGAAGAAGGUCUUCGGAUUGUAAAGCACUUUAAGUUGGGAAGAAGGGCAGUAAGUUAAUACCUUGCUGUUUUGACGUUACCAACAGAAUAAGCACCGGCUAACUUCGUG